GAAUCUUCCACAAUGGACGAAAGUCUGAUGGAGCAAUGCCGCGUGAGCGAAGAAGGUCUUCGGAUCGUAAAGCUCUGUUGUAAGGGAAGAACACGUACGGGAGUAACUGCCCGUGCCAUGACGGUACCUUAUUAGAAAGCCACGGCUAACUACGUGCCCGCCGCCGCGGUAAUACGUAGGUGGCAAGCGUUGUCCGGAAUUAUUGGGCGUAAAGCGCGCGCAGGCGGUUCUUUAAGUCUGAUGUGAAAGCCCACGGCUCAACCGUGGAGGGUCAUUGGAAACUGGAGAACUUGAGUACAGAAGAGGAAGGCGGAAUUCCACGUGUAGCGGUGAAAUGCGUAGAGAUGUGGAGGAACACCAGUGGCGAAGGCAGCCUUCUGGCAUCAUAUUGACACUGAGGUUCGAAAGCGUGGGUAGCAAAC
rnacentral:rRNA from 1 species